GAUCAUGGCUCAGGAUGAACGCUAGCGACAGGCUUAACACAUGCAAGUCGGGGGGCAGCAUAAAAGUAGCAAUACUUGGUGGCGACCGGCGCACGGGUGAGUAACGCGUAUGCAACCUACCUAUCAGAGGGGAAUAACCCGGCGAAAGUCGGACUAAUACCGCAUAAAACAGGGACACCGCAUGGUGAUAUUUGUUAAAGAAAUUCGCUGAUAGAUGGGCAUGCGUUCCAUUAGGUAGUUGGUGAGGUAACGGCUCACCAAGCCGACGAUGGAUAGGGGAACUGAGAGGUUGGUCCCCCACACUGGUACUGAGACACGGACCAGACUCCUACGGGAGGCAGCAGUGAGGAAUAUUGGUCAAUGGGCGAGAGCCUGAACCAGCCAAGUCGCGUGAAGGAAGAAGGAUCUAUGGUUCGUAAACUUCUUUUGCAGGGGAAUAAAGUGCAGGACGUGUCCUGUUUUGUAUGUACCCUGAGAAUAAGGAUCGGCUAACUCCGUGCCAGCCGCGGC
rnacentral:rRNA from 1 species